AUUGAACGCUGGCGGCAGGCCUAACACAUGCAAGUCGAACGGUAACAGGAAACAGCUGCUGUUUCGCUGACGAGUGGCGGACGGGUGAGUAAAGUCUGGGAAACUGCCUGAUGGAGGGGGAUAACUACUGGAAACGGUAGCUAAUACCGCAUAACGUCGCAAGACCAAAGAGGGGGACCUUCGGGCCUCUUGCCAUCGGAUGUGCCCAGAUGGGAUUAGCUAGUAGGUGGGGUAACGGCUCACCUAGGCGACGAUCCCUAGCUGGUCUGAGAGGAUGACCAGCCACACUGGAACUGAGACACGGUCCAGACUCCUACGGGAGGCAGCAGUGGGGAAUAUUGCACAAUGGGCGCAAGCCUGAUGCAGCCAUGCCGCGUGUAUGAAGAAGGCCUUCGGGUUGUAAAGUACUUUCAGCGGGGAGGAAGGGAGUAAAGUUAAUACCUUUGCUCAUUGACGUUACCCGCAGAAGAAGCGCCGGCUAACUCCGUGCCAGCAGCCGCGGUAAUACGGAGGGUGCAAGCGUUAAUCGGAAUUACUGGGCGUAAAGCGCACGCAGGCGGUUUGUUAAGUCAGAUGUGAAAUCCCCGGGCUCAACCUGGGAACUGCAUCUGAUACUGGCAAGCUUGAGUCUCGUAGAGGGGGGUAGAAUUCCAGGUGUAGCGGUGAAAUGCGUAGAGAUCUGGAGGAAUACCGGUGGCGAAGGCGGCCCCCUGGACGAAGACUGACGCUCAGGUGCGAAAGCGUGGGGAGCAAACAGG
rnacentral:rRNA from 1 species